rnacentral:lncRNA from 1 species
AGACGCGCAAGGAUGUUCCCGUGCCCCCACAAGAUACACAGACGAGUUCCUGCAGGGUGACUGCCAGAUUUCAGCCAGCGGCAAACCCAGCGGCGGCAGGAACUCGGAGCGCUCCCUAACCUCGCGGGGCAGCGGGGACCCAGCGCCCUGGCCUCCUCGGGCGCCCCGGCAGGGCGCGCGCCAGGUCCCAGGCCGGCGCGGGGCCCCAGGACCCUUAUCUUCUUCGUCUUGGGUAUCCUGCUGCCGGUCCCAGCUGCCUCAGCCACGACCACCGAGCAGGACAGAAUUCACUGCAAUUAGCUGCCCCUCUGGGAAGUGCAGCCCCUGGGAGGGUUGUGUCCACCAGGUGCCUACUGGAUGCCCUCUGUGUGCCAGGCACCAUGCUAGGGGAGGGCACGAGGCCCCUGCCCUUGGGGCUCUCCUUCUGGGAUGGUCCACACAGAGGAUGCAUGUGACAAUCAGAGGCGUGAUAAGAACUGUUACGGACCAAACUGUGGCCCCCUCACCUCAGAUUCAUAUGUUGAAGCUCUAACCCCUAGUUCCUUAGAAUGUGUGGGUGUUUGGAUAUAGGGUGUUUAAAGAGGUGAUUAAGGUAAAAUGAGGCUGGUAGAGUAGGCCCUAUUUCAAUCUGACUGGUGUUCUUACAAGAAGAAAAAAUUUAGACUCACAGACAGACACUACAGGCACAUGUGCAAAGAGGGAGGGCCCACCAUCUGAAGAGGCAGCAAGAUGGCGGCCAUUUGAAUGCCAAGGAGAGAAGCUUCACAGGAACCCACCCUGCCGUGAC